rnacentral:lncRNA from 1 species
UUUGGCUGUGUCCCUACCCAAAUCUCAUGUUGAAUUCUCACGUGUUGUUAGGGGGCACCUGGUGGAAGGUAAUUGAAUCAUGGGGGCAAGUGUUUCCUGUGCUGUUCUUGUGAUAGUGAAUAAGUCUUAUGGGAUCUGAUAAUUUUAAAAAGAAGGAUUCCUCUGCACAAGCUCUCUCAUAUUUGUUUACUGCCAUCCAUGUUAAGAUGUGACUUGCUCUUCCUGGCUUUCUGCUAUGAUUAUGAGGCUUCCCCUGCCACGUGGAACUCCUAGUCCAAAGACGUUUACAUCCUGGAAGAGAACUUGCUGGCUUUUCACCUCAGCAUGUAUGGGCCAAACUAAUAUAACAAGAAGUCUUGAGAGGAGUCAGCGGCCAAGCUCCAUGUCUUGCAGCCAAACAAUGCUGUGGGAUGGAAGGUGGGAUGUCAUGUGUCUGGUUUACAGCACUCACGUAUCAGUUGGCAGUUAACGGAAGUGCUACUGAUUGUAACAGUGGAAGCAAUUUGAAAUGAAAUACAACACUUAAAGCAAAUGAAACGGAAGUGAAUGCCAGCAGUAAAUGGCAAGAAGAAAUCCAGUUCAGUGUGUUCCUCAGAAAUCUUGCCUCUUGGGACUAAAUGCUGCAAAUGUAACUCUUAUCCUUGUUUUUCAAGUUUUACCAUCUCAAAGCUAUCCACUUUAUAUUAAAUUAGUUCUGUUAUAUUAUGUCAAUUUGUAUUCUUAAGAGCACAAGUUUGGCCUCAAAUAGACCUGAGCUGAGAUCCAAUUCUUUAAUUUAUCUGUGUUGUUUUCUUUUUCCUUAGCUUUAAAGUGGAAAAAAUGCUACUUACAUUUUAUUUAUGAAGGUUAAAGAUAAAGUGUCUGAUAUGGGACCUAUCAUAUGUGGUAGGCACUUAGUACAUGGUAGCAAUUAUGAUUAUUAUAUCUGAUAUUAGCAUUAUUAUUAUGAUUUGUUUUAAUCUUCAAAGUAUCAACUGUUUCUAUUACAUUUGUGGUAAAUACUCCUAAACAGAGUUUUUAAGUUCAAGUGUCCAAAGUUGUUAGAAACAAAGAUAUUUGACAAUAACAUAAUCAUAUCACAUGACCUCAUGAUUUAACCACCUCCCAAAGUUGCCACCUCCUAAUAUUAUCACCUUGGGGGUGAGGUUUCAACAUAUGAAUUUUAGAGGAACAUAAACAUUCAGACCAUAGCAAUAAUGAAGAUAAAGAGUUUAUUCAUAGAUAAAUGUUAAGAAGUAGAUACUGUUUGUUAGGAGAAGUGUCCACAGUUAGGGAGAAGUUAGAGGUCUGGUGUCAUCUUUGAUUUUUGUGUUUCUUCCGGAACCCUGUUGCCUGGCUUCCUACACUAUUUCUUGUGUCUUUUUCUUGUAGCUAAACUUGAACAUUUUUUCCUUGAGUACCAUUUUACAAUCAACUGUGCUUUUAUGCAGUGGACUUUCACUGAAUGUCCCCUAUUGGAAAUUUUAACAACAAUUUAACAACUAUUUAUUUGAUACUUUCUGUAUAACCAAUAUUAUUGAACAUCCUAGGAACACAUACAUAAAUAAAACUUGA